rnacentral:rRNA from 1 species
CACGUAGGGUGCGAGCGUUGUCCGGAAUUAUUGGGCGUAAAGAGCUCGUAGGCGGUCUGUCGCGUCGGCUGUGAAAACUCGGGGCUCAACCCCGAGCCUGCAGUGGAUACGGGCUGGCUAGAGGCAGGCAGGGGAGAACGGAAUUCCUGGUGUAGCGGUGAAAUGCGCAGAUAUCAGGAGGAACACCGGUGGCGAAGGCGGUUCUCUGGGCCUGUACUGACGCUGAGGAGCGAAAGCGUGGGGAGCGAACAGG